rnacentral:misc_RNA from 1 species
UUAAAAUAAGCCACAUGCACAGGAAAACGACUGGACAGCUUCAAAUUAUGUCCUGCAAACCUCAAAUGCCUGUUGCUAGUUCUUUUUCUCUUCAAGCUAUGGGCAAAGGUUAGAGAGAGAUCUCAUGCCUCAAGUGUUAGCCAGGAACUGUGGAGAUAUAGUACUUAUGAGUUGUUUCUGUAAUUGGCCUUCUGUUUUGGCCCCU